UUUCUAUAUAUAUCAUAUCAUAUCAUAUUAUAUAUAUAAUGUGCUAUUGUUCUUCUUCCUUUUAUUUGUAUGGUAUCAUCAGGACCCCUAUUUAUUCAGUUUCCUCAAUCCAUGAAACCCAUGUAGGAGAAUUCUGGAGUGGGAUCAGGGCCCUUUUUGAAAAAGCUCUACAGAAGCUAAAAAUUUCAAAUCCAGGACUGGAUGGAAUAGUUGCAUUUGAAGGAGUUCACUCCACUGAUAUGAGCAAAGAUAUCUGAGGAAUCAACCAUAUCAUCUUCUUCUUUCACAACUACCUGCUAAGUUCAAAAGAUAAAAUUAAAGGCGUGUUUGUUAGAUUGUGGAAUCAUGCCAACAAACCAAUAAUUCAGAAAAGGUCUCUGAGCAUCUCCAAAGUCAUCAUUCUUUGCAAACCUUCCUCGAACUCGCGGCCGGCUAUCUGCCAGAGUUUUGCGGCAGGCAUACUGUACAUUUAAUUUGCAUGCAGUGUUAAUUGAAACUUCACAAAAUAUGUAGCAAAAAAGAGCAAACUACUAUUUCUAACCAUAAAAUUUUAAAAUACUGACAAAUUUAACCAUGAAUAAAUGAAAUUCAUUUUGUACCCACAAAAGAUAUUCUCUAUAUGACAAAAGUACUAAUUUGUCAAUAUUUUGAACUUCUAUGGAUAGAAAUGACAAAUUUUCGUCUUUCAUAAGUAUAAAGUUAGUUUUGUUUAUUCAUAGAUAAAUUUGUCAAUAUUCUGAACUUUCAUAGAUAGAAAUGGAAGUUUACUCCAUUAAAAUUUGAUUAAUGUACUUAGACUUAAGAGUACCUUGAUUUUCUUGCUGAAGUUUCUUUCAUUUCUUUUCUUCAUGUAUCUAU